UCCUGUAGCCCAGGCUGACAAGGAAGUCUCUGCUGUGGAGGAUGACCUUGAACUUCUGCUCGUCCUGUCCUCGCUGAGAUUGCGCACAUCUCAGGCUCAAUCUUGUUGAGCUCUUUGCUCUCUGAUUUUAAGUUUGGUUUAAAGCCUGUGUGUAUUUGGUAAAACAUUAAAUACAGAUGUCGAGGCAUGUUUUAAAGAGAUCUUGGUUUAUGUGUUUGUAUGUACACGUGUGUGAGGGUGCAAACACCUGUGUGCACGUGGAUGCCAGGAAAAGGUAUUGUUGGAUCCCUUGGAGAUGUGGUUACAAGUCUUUUCUGGAAUCCUGGCUUAUGCUGGAAUUCCAAACUCUCUGAUCCUCGUAAUUAGCACCAAAUGCUCUUAACUGCUGAGCCAUCUUUCCAGCUCCAAGGAACUUUUCCCCCCUCUAAAUCCUUCUAACUUUAACAGGCUAGAUAAUGGCCAGGUGUGGAAAUGCACUCUCUCAAUCCCAGCAAUCCAGAGGCAGUGCAAGGCCAGCCUGGUCUGUACAGUAAGUUCCAGGCAAGCCAGGGCCACACAGUGAGAGUGAGACCCUGUCUAACCAGAGAGAAGAAGAAAAGAAAGACACCGAUGUAACCAUUAUGUCUGGCUGUGCGAGCACUUGCUGUAUUGGGCUAAAGAAUUGUUGCUUAUGGAGGUCUAAACAUGAUCCCAUCCUGCCACUCUCAAGAUCCUCAGCUGGCUUCCUCUUGGAGUAAAGUUCAGACUCCUUUCCAGGGUUCCCUUACUUCGUGCCCAGGUUUUAUUUUCUGCCUUUUCUCUAUCCUUUCCCGCCACCCUCCUGUCACUCAGCGCCAGGCUGCCUUGUCAGAGCUUGGUGAGUCUUGUUUACUCCACCUUAGCUUACUUUUAUCAGACCCUCACGUGUUGAGUCACUUCUGUGUUGUUUGUUACCUUAUCCAUGAAGAGUUCAGAAGGACAGCUGUAAGCCAUUCAGCUAAGUGUAUCUCAGCGGAUCACCAUGUUUUACUUCCUUCAGUGUUUAAUCUGUCAGAAGCCAUGAUUGUAGUUAUUUGUUGCUUAUUGUCAGCCUUACCUACCAUGAGGAAUUUUGAUAAGGGCAGAGAUAAUGUAUAACCCUAGACUAUAGAGCUGUGUAUGGCAUGUAGUAGCGCCUGUGUUUGGGAAUAACUGGGUUUAGUGGACACACGUGUAGUCCAAGCUACUCCGAUGUUCUUAUCAGGAGGAUCACUUGAAGCCCAGAAGCUCCCUCGGAGAAACGUAACUUCCUUCUAUAACAAAUAAGCACCCCUCUCAGCAGUGUCUAGAAGGCCAGGUCUUUGGUAAUAAUAAGGUGUCUUUGAAUACUGCUUUGAAGGAGAGGUGUGAGACUGGUGCGGCACUAGCUGUGAAGGAGACCAGCUGAGCAUAGCCAUCCCAUUACGGUUUGAACUGCAUGUCCAGUUGAAGUGUGUCUCAGGUCGUGGAGGGACCUAUGUGUGCUGCUGUAUGUCUACCAGGAAACCUGUAUGUAUGUGGUAGUCUUUAUGCUCAGAGAUCUGGGUGAUCACAUGGCUCACAUGUGUCAUUGGGUGCUGGUUUUGUUUU